rnacentral:rRNA from 1 species
GUCGAGGGGUAUAGGUUUUCGGAUCUAGAGACCGGCGCACGGGUGCGUAACGCGUAUGCAAUCUACCUUUUACAGAGGGAUAGCCCAGAGAAAUUUGGAUUAAUACCUCAUAGUAUUAUGAAAUGGCAUCAUUUUAUAAUUAAAGUCACAACGGUAAAAGAUGAGCAUGCGUCCCAUUAGCUAGUUGGUAAGGUAACGGCUUACCAAGGCAACGAUGGGUAGGGGUCCUGAGAGGGAGAUCCCCCACACUGGUACUGAGACACGGACCAGACUCCUACGGGAGGCAGCAGUGAGGAAUAUUGGACAAUGGGCGCAAGCCUGAUCCAGCCAUGCCGCGUGCAGGAUGACGGUCCUAUGGAUUGUAAACUGCUUUUGUACGAGAAGAAACACUACUUCGUGAAGUAGCUUGACGGUAUCGUAAGAAUAAGGAUCGGCUAACUCCGUGCCAGCAGCCGCGGUAAUACGGAGGAUCCAAGCGUUAUCCGGAAUCAUUGGGUUUAAAGGGU